AAUAUGGGAAAGACAAACUUUUGUAAAGACAAACAUAAAGACAAACAUCAAGUAAAAGUGAAGUUAGUAUGGGAAAUAAUUAGUAGGGGAAAAGUUAGUACAGAAAAUAGGCCAAUUCCAUGAACAUGUUUUACUGCAUACAAUAUGUUAAUAUCAGUGCUUUUGGAAAAACUGUCUUAGUUUACAUUCAAUGUUGUUUCUAUUGUUCUUGUUUCUAGUUCUAAUAGAGAUAUUAUGUUUCUAGUUCUAAUAGAGAUAUUAUGUUUCUAUAGUUCUAAUAGAGAUAUUAUGUUUCUAUAGUUCUAAUAGAGAUGUUGUUUCUAUAGUUCUAAUAGAGAUAUUAUGUUUCUAUAGCUCUAGAGAUAUUGUUUCUAUAGUUCGAAUAGAGAUAUUAUGUUUAUAUAGUUCUAAUAGAGAUGUUAUGUUUCUAUAGUUCUAAUAGAGAUGUUAUGUUUCUAUAGUUCUAAUAGAGAUGUUAUGUUUCUAUAGCUCUAAUAGAGAUGUUUCUAUAGCUCUAAUAGAGAUGUUUCUAUAGUUCUAAUAGAGUGUUAUGUUUCUAUAGUUCUAAUGAGGAUGUUAUGUUUCUAUAGUUCUAAUAGAGAUGUUAUGUUUCUAUAGUUCUAAUAGAGGUUGUGUUUCUAUAUUCUAAUAGAGAUAUGUUUCUUGCUCUAUAGAGAUAUGUUUCUAUAGCUUAUAGAGAUGUUUCUUAGUUCUAUAGAGAAAGUUUCUAUAGUCUAUCAUAGAGAUUGUUUCUAUGUUCCAAUGAGAUUGUUUCAUAGUUCUAAUAGAGAUAUGUUUCUAUAGCUCUAAUAGAGAUGUUUCUAUAGUUCUAAUAGAGAUGUUUAGUUUCUCUAGUUCUAAUAGAGAUGUUUCUAUAGUUCUAUAGAGAUAUGUUUCUAUAGCUCUAAUGAGAUGUUAUGUUUCUAUAGUUCUAAUAGAGAUGUUAUGUUUUUAUAGUUCUAAGAGAUAUUAUGUUUCUAUAGUUCUAAUAGAGAUAUGUUUCUAUAGCUCUAAUAGAGAUGUUUCUAUAGCUCUAAUAGAGAUGUUUCUAUAGUUCUAAUAGAGAUGUUAUGUUUCCAUAGUUCUAAGAGAUAUUGUUUCAUAUUCUAAUAGAGAUGUUAUGUUUCUAUAGUCUAAUAAGAUGUUAUGUUUCUAUAGCUCUAAUAGAGAUGUUAUGUUUCUAUGUUCUAAUAGAGAUGUUGUGUUCUGAGUUCUAAUAGAGUAUGUUUCUUAGAUUCUAAUAGAGAUGUUUCUAUAGUUCUAAUAGAGAAGUUUCUAUAGUUCUAAUAGAGAUACGUUUCUAUAGUCACAUAGAGAAUGUUUCUAUGUUCUAAUAGAAUAUGUUUCUAUAGCUCUAAUAGAGUGUUAUGUUUCUAUAGUUCGAAUAGAGAUGUUUUGUUUCUAUAGUUCUAAAGAGAUGUUGUGUUUCUAUAGUUCUAAUAGGAUAUUAUGUUUCUAUAGUUCUAUAGAGAUGUUAUGUUUUCUAUAGUUCUAUAGAGAUGUUAUGUUUCUAUAGUUCUAAUAGAGAUAUUUCUAUAGCUCUAAUAGAGUAUGUUUCUAUAGCUCUAAUAGAGAUGUUUCUAUAGUUUCUAAUAGAGAAGUUAUGUUUCUAUAGUUCUAAUAGAGAUGUUUCUAUAGUUUAUAGAGAUGUUUCUAUAGUUCUAAUAGAGAUAUGUUUCUAUGUUCUAAUAGAGAUAUUGUUCUAUAGUUCUAAUAGAGAUAUGUUUCCAUAGCUCUAAUAGAGAUGUUUCUAUAGCUCUAAUAGAGAUGUUCUAUAGCUCUAAUAGAGAUGUUUCUAUAGUUCUAAUAGAGGUUAUGUUUUCUAUAGUUUAGAGAUAUUGUUUCUAUGUUCUAAUAGAGAUGUUAUGUUUCUAUAGUUCUAAUAGAGUGUUAUGUUUCUAUAGCUCUAUAGAGAUGUUAUGUUUCUAUAGUUCUAAUAGGAUGUUGUUGUUUCUGUAGUUCUAAUAGAGAUAUGUUUCUAUAUUCUAUAGAGGUUUCUAAGCUCUAAAGAGAUUUUUAUAGUUCUAAUAGAGAAGUUUCUAUAGUUCUAAUAGAGAUACGUUCUUCAUAGUUCCAAUAGAGAUUGUUUCUAUAGUUCUAAUAGAGAUAUGUUCUAUAGCUCUAAGAGAUGUUAUGUUUCUAUAGUUCGAAUAGAGAUGUUUUGUUUCUAUAGCCUUAUAGAUGUUAUGUUUCUAUAGUUCUAAUAGAGAUGUUAGU
rnacentral:lncRNA from 1 species